rnacentral:rRNA from 1 species
ACGAACGCUGGCGGCGUGCUUAACACAUGCAAGUCGAACGGAAAGGCCCUGCUUUUGUGGGGUGCUCGAGUGGCGAACGGGUGAGUAACACGUGAGUAACCUGCCCUUACUUUGGGAUAACUUCAGGAAACUGGGGCUAAUACCGGAUAGGAGCUCCUGCUGCAUGGUGGGGGUUGGAAAGUUUCGGCGGUUGGGGAUGGACUCGCGGCUUAUCAGCUUGUUGGUGGGGUAGUGGCUUACCAAGGCUUUGACGGGUAGCCGGCCUGAGAGGGUGACCGGCCACAUUGGGACUGAGAUACGGCCCAGACUCCUACGGGAGGCAGCAGUGGGGAAUAUUGCACAAUGGGCGGAAGCCUGAUGCAGCAACGCCGCGUGCGGGAUGACGGCCUUCGGGUUGUAAACCGCUUUCGCCUGUGACGAAGCGUGAGUGACGGUAAUGGGUAAAGAAGCACCGGCUAACUACGUG